rnacentral:rRNA from 1 species
GAUGAACGCUGGCGGCGUGCUUAACACAUGCAAGUCGAUCGAAGCAUUUAAGACAGAUUACUUCGGUUUGAAGUUUUUUAUGACUGAGUGGCGGACGGGUGAGUAACGCGUGGGUAACCUGCCUCAUACAGGGGGAUAGCAGCUGAAAACGGCUGGUAAUACCGCAUAAGCGCACAGUACCACAUGGUACAGUGUGAAAAACUCCGGUGGUAUGAGAUGGACCCGCGUCUGAUUAGCUGGUUGGCGGGGUAACGGCCCACCAAGGCGACGAUCAGUAGCCGACCUGAGAGGGUGACCGGCCACAUUGGGACUGGGACACGGCCCAGACUCCUACGGGAGGCAGCAGUGGGGAAUAUUGCACAAUGGAGGAAACUCUGAUGCAGCGACGCCGCGUGAGUGAAGAAGUAGUUCGCUAUGUAAAGCUCUAUCAGCAGGGAAGAUAGUGACGGUACCUGACUAAGAAGCUCCGGCUAAAUACGUGCCAGCCGCCGCAGUAA